rnacentral:rRNA from 1 species
AGAGUUUGAUCCUGGCUCAGAUUGAACGCUGGCGGCAUGCCUUACACAUGCAAGUCGAACGGCAGCGGACCUUCGGGUGCCGGCGAGUGGCGAACGGGUGAGUAAUGUAUCGGAACGUACCUUUCAGUGGGGGAUAACGUAGCGAAAGUUACGCUAAUACCGCAUAUUCUGUGAGCAGGAAAGCAGGGGAUCGCAAGACCUUGCGCUGAUUGAGCGGCCGAUAUCAGAUUAGCUAGUUGGUGAGGUAAAGGCUCACCAAGGCGACGAUCUGUAGCGGGUCUGAGAGGAUGAUCCGCCACACUGGAACUGAGACACGGUCCAGACUCCUACGGGAGGCAGCAGUGGGGAAUUUUGGACAAUGGGGGCAACCCUGACCCAGCCAUGCCGCGUGAGUGAAGAAGGCCUUCGGGUUGUAAAGCUCUUUCGGCCGGGAAGAAAUCGCAUGGGUUAAUACCCUGUGCGGAUGACGGUACCGGCAUA